UUUUUCUUUUCUUUUUAAACAUCCAAAGUAAAUGGAUGGAGUUAUAAUCUUCAGAUUUUUAUGUGUCAGGAAUGGAGAGCACCACUUCACAGGAGACAUCGCACAGACUGCGACAGAGAAUACCUGAUCCUGCUGACGGUGGAAACAUAAACUAUGCUGCCGUGGAUUUUUCUAAGAGAAAG